AGGGCGCACGGUGGAUGCCUUGGCACUAGAAGCCGAUGAAGGACGUGACUAACGACGAAAUGCUUUGGGGAGCUGUAAGUGAGCAAUGAUCCAGAGAUGUCCGAAUGGGGGAACCCGGCAGGUAAUGCCUGUCACUCAUUACUGUUAAGGUAAUGUAGAGGAAGACGCAGUGAACUGAAACAUCUAAGUAGCUGUAGGAAGAGAAAGCAAAAGCGAUUGCCUUAGUAGCGGCGAGCGAAACGGCAAGAGGGCAAACCGAAGAGUUUACUCUUCGGGGUUGUAGGACUGCAACGUGGACUUAAAGAUUAUAGAAGAACUACCUGGGAAGGUAGGCCAAAGAGAGUAAUAGCCUCGUAUUCGAAAUAGUCUUUAUACCUAGCAGUAUCCUGAGUACGGCGAGACACGAGAAAUCUCGUCGGAAUCUGGGAGGACCAUCUCCCAACCCUAAAUACUCUCUAGUGACCGAUAGUGAACCAGUACCGUGAGGGAAAGGUGAAAAGCACCCCGGGAGGGGAGUGAAAUAGAACCUGAAACCGUGUGCCUACAACAAGUUCGAGCCCGUUAAUGGGUGAGAGCGUGCCUUUUGUAGAAUGAACCGGCGAGUUACGAUAUGAUGCGAGGUUAAGUUGAAGAGACGGAGCCGUAGGGAAACCGAGUCUUAAUAGGGCGCAUUAGUAUCAUGUCGUAGACCCGAAACCAUGUGACCUACCCAUGAGCAGGUUGAAGGUGAGGUAAAACUCACUGGAGGACCGAACCAGGGCACGUUGAAAAGUGCUUGGAUGACUUGUGGGUAGCGGAGAAAUUCCAAACGAACUUGGAGAUAGCUGGUUCUCUCCGAAAUAGCUUUAGGGCUAGCGUCGAUGUUAAGUCUCUUGGAGGUAGAGCACUGUUUGGGUGAGGGGUCCAUCCCGGAUUACCAAUCUCAGAUAAACUCCGAAUGCCAAUGAGAUAUAAUCGGCAGUCAGACUGCGAGUGCUAAGAUCCGUAGUCGAAAGGGAAACAGCCCAGACCACCAGCUAAGGUCCCAAAAUAUAUGUUAAGUGGAAAAGGAUGUGGGGUUGCACAGACAACUAGGAUGUUAGCUUAGAAGCAGCUAUUCAUUCAAAGAGUGCGUAAUAGCUCACUAGUCGAGUGACCCUGCGCCGAAAAUGUACCGGGGCUAAAACAUAUUACCGAAGCUGUGGAUACCUUUAUAGGUAUGGUAGGAGAGCGUUCUAUGUGCGAAGAAGGUGUACCGUGAGGAGUGCUGGAGCGCAUAGAAGUGAGAAUGCCGGUAUGAGUAGCGAAAGACAGGUGAGAAUCCUGUCCACCGUAAGACUAAGGUUUCCAGGGGAAGGCUCGUCCGCCCUGGGUUAGUCGGGACCUAAGGAGAGACCGAAAGGUGUAUCCGAUGGACAACAGGUUGAUAUUCCUGUACUAGAGUAUAUAGUGAUGGAGGGACGCAGUAGGCUAACUAAACCAGACGAUUGGAAGUGUCUGGCCAAGCAGUGAGGUGUGAUAUGAGUCAAAUGCUUAUAUCUUUAACAUUGAGCUGUGAUGGGGAGCGAAGUUUAGUAGCGAAGUUAGUGAUGUCACACUGCCGAGAAAAGCUUCUAGCGUUAAUUAUACUCUACCCGUACCGCAAACCGACACAGGUAGUCGAGGCGAGUAGCCUCAGGUGAGCGAGAGAACUCUCGUUAAGGAACUCGGCAAAAUGGCCCCGUAACUUCGGGAGAAGGGGCGCUGACUGAUGGUCAGCCGCAGUGAAUAGGCCCAAGCAACUGUUUAUCAAAAACACAGCUCUCUGCUAAAUCGUAAGAUGAUGUAUAGGGGGUGACGCCUGCCCGGUGCUGGAAGGUUAAGAGGAGUGCUUAGCGUAAGCGAAGGCAUGAAUUGAAGCCCCAGUAAACGGCGGCCGUAACUAUAACGGUCCUAAGGUAGCGAAAUUCCUUGUCGGGUAAGUUCCGACCCGCACGAAAGGCGUAAUGAUUUGGGCACUGUCUCAACGAGAGACUCGGUGAAAUUUUAGUACCUGUGAAGAUGCAGGUUACCCGCGACAGGACGGAAAGACCCCAUGGAGCUUUACUGCAGUUUGAUAUUGAGUAUCUGUACCACAUGUACAGGAUAGGUAGGAGCCUAUGACCUCGGGACGCCAGUUUCGAGUGAGGCGUUGUUGGGAUACUACCCUUGUGUUAUGGCUACUCUAACCCAGAUAGGUUAUCCCUAUCGGAGACAGUGUCUGACGGGCAGUUUGACUGGGGCGGUCGCCUCCUAAAAGGUAACGGAGGCGCCCAAAGGUUCCCUCAGAAUGGUUGGAAAUCAUUCGCAGAGUGUAAAGGUAUAAGGGAGCUUGACUGCGAGAGCUACAACUCGAGCAGGGACGAAAGUCGGGCUUAGUGAUCCGGUGGUUCCGUAUGGAAGGGCCAUCGCUCAACGGAUAAAAGCUACCCUGGGGAUAACAGGCUUAUCUCCCCCAAGAGUUCACAUCGACGGGGAGGUUUGGCACCUCGAUGUCGGCUCGUCGCAUCCUGGGGCUGUAGUCGGUCCCAAGGGUUGGGCUGUUCGCCCAUUAAAGCGGCACGCGAGCUGGGUUCAGAACGUCGUGAGACAGUUCGGUCCCUAUCCGUCGCGGGCGUAGGAAAUUUGAGAGGAUCUGCUCCUAGUACGAGAGGACCAGAGUGGACUUACCGCUGGUGUACCAGUUGUUCUGCCAAGAGCAUCGCUGGGUAGCUAUGUAGGGAAGGGAUAAACGCUGAAAGCAUCUAAGUGUGAAGCCCACCUCAAGAUGAGAUUUCCCAUGAUUUU
rnacentral:rRNA from 2 species